UCCACAUCGACGGGGAGGUUUGGCACCUCGAUGUCGGCUCAUCACAUCCUGGGGCUGUAGUAGGUCCCAAGGGUUGGGCUGUUCGCCCAUUAAAGUGGUACGCGAGCUGGGUUCAGAACGUCGUGAGACAGUUCGGUCCCUAUCCGUCGCAGGCGUAGGAAAUUUGAGAAGACCUGUCCUUAGUACGAGAGGACCGGGAUGGACGUACCUCUGGUGUACCAGUUGUCCUGCCAAGGGCAUGGCUGGGUAGCUAUGUACGGAAUGGAUAAGCGCUGAAAGCAUCUAAGCGCGAAGCCAACUUCAAGAUAAGAUUUCCCACCGCAAGGGUAAGACCCCAGAAAGACUAUCUGGUUGAUAGGUCGAAGGUGUAAGUGCAGCAAUGUAUUUAGCUUAUCGAUACUAAUAGGUCGAGGACUUGACCAAU
rnacentral:rRNA from 1 species